CUCAAGAUAUGUGACUUCCAAGGGAACUGCAAACUCAAGAUAUGUGGUCUUGGACUAGCAAGAUUUGCAUCCAGUGACACCCCUACAACAGUUUUCUGGAUGGACCAUGUCGCCACCUGAUGGUAUAGAGCUCAUGAACUCUGUAAUGUUCUAUCAUUACCAAGUGUUGUUAACAAUUUCAGGAGGCUAACUUAGAGGAAGAUAGAGGAAGGAGCAGGGCAGUUGAGGGGAAGUACAUUUCUCACUGGAGAUUACUAGACAUAUAGGAAGAAUUAUGAAACUAAAAUGGGAUGUUACUGUUGGCAUUUGAUGACAAAGUGAGGCCAAUAUAGAAAAAAACUAAGCUUUUGGGGACUAACCACGGAAUAUUAGUACUAUAUGCUGAUAUUGACAAGCCGCACUAUCUUCUCCAGUGGCAUGGGCAACGUGUAUUAUGUCGAAAUGUGUGGGAUUAUUGAUUUUAUGUCUUUAUUUUUACUAAUAUAUAUUUAUACAAGGACGACAAUCAACAAAAUGUGUAUUUCUCAUUCAACCAGUGUCCUCGCAUGUAAAGACAAGUAAUGCUUCGAGCACAUGAGAA